rnacentral:rRNA from 1 species
UACGUAGGUGGCAAGCGUUGUCCGGAAUCAUUGGGCGUAAAGCGCGCGUAGGUGGCUUGUCAGGUCUGAUGUGAAAACCUGGGGCUCAACCCCAGGCCUGCAUCGGAAACCGGCUUGCUAGAGUCUGGGAGAGGAGAGUGGAAUUCCUGGUGUAGCGGUGAAAUGCGUAGAUAUCAGGAGGAACACCAGUAGCGAAGGCGGCUCUCUGGAACAGUACUGACACUGAGGCGCGAAAGCUAGGGGAGCGAACAGG